AGCGUUAUCCGGAAUUACUGGGCGUAAAGGGUGCGUAGGCGGAUGUUUAAGUGGGAUGUGAAAUCCCCGGGCUUAACCUGGGGGCUGCAUUCCAAACUGGAUAUCUAGAGUGCAGGAGAGGAAAGCGGAAUUCCUAGUGUAGCGGUGAAAUGCGUAGAGAUUAGGAAGAACACCAGUGGCGAAGGCGGCUUUCUGGACUGUAACUGACGCUGAGGCACGAAAGCGUGGGUAGCAAACAGGAUUAGAUACCCUGGUAGUCCACGCCGUAAACGAUGGAUACUAGGUGUAGGGGGUAUCAACUCCCCCUGUGCCGCAGUUAACACAAUAAGUAUCCCGCCUGGGGAGUACGGUCGCAAGAUUAAAACUCAAAGGAAUUGACGGGGGCCCGCACAAGCAGCGGAGCAUGUGGUUUAAUUCGAAGCAACGCGAAGAACCUUACCUGGACUUGACAUCCCUUGCAUAACCUAGAGAUAGGUGAAGCCCUUCGGGGCAAGGAGACAGGUGGUGCAUGGUUGUCGUCAGCUCGUGUCGUGAGAUGUUAGGUUAAGUCCUGCAACGAGCGCAACCCUUGUUAUUAGUUGCUACUAUUAAGUUGAGCACUCUAAUGAGACUGCCUGGGUAACCAGGAGGAAGGUGGGGAUGACGUCAAAUCAUCAUGCCCCUUAUGUCCAGGGCUACACACGUGCUACAAUGGUAGGUACAAUAAGACGCAAGACCGUGAGGUGGAGCAAAACUUAUAAAACCUAUCUCAGUUCGGAUUGUAGGCUGCAACUCGCCUACAUGAAGCUGGAGUUGCUAGUAAUCGCGAAUCAGAAUGUCGCGGUGAAUACGUUCCCGGGCCUUGUACACACCGCCCGUCACACCAUGAGAGCUGGUAACACCCGAAGUCCGUGAAGUAACCGUAAGGAGCCAGCGGCCGAAGG
rnacentral:rRNA from 1 species